UACCUCUCAGGAUCGCACCUGGAGAGUUUCCAGUCCUCUACCAGUCUCGAUUAUGGGAGGGAGAGUCAAGCAGAGGCAUACCCACUCCAUUCCUAGCUUGGCCAGUGGCUAGAGAGCGGAAGGCAAUCGGCUACAAGU